GAUGAACGCUGGCGGCGUGCCUAAUACAUGCAAGUCGAGCGAACGGACGAGAAGCUUGCUUCUCUGAUGUUAGCGGCGGACGGGUAAGUAACACGUGGAUAACCUACCUAUAAGACUGGGAUAACUUCGGGAAACCGGAGCUAAUACCGGAUAAUAUUUUGAACCGCAUGGUUCAAAAGUGAAAGACGGUCUUGCUGUCACUUAUAGAUGGAUCCGCGCUGCAUUAGCUAGUUGGUAAGGUAACGGCUUACCAAGGCAACGAUGCAUAGCCGACCUGAGAGGGUGAUCGGCCACACUGGAACUGAGACACGGUCCAGACUCCUACGGGAGGCAGCAGUAGGGAAUCUUCCGCAAUGGGCGAAAGCCUGACGGAGCAACGCCGCGUGAGUGAUGAAGGUCUUCGGAUCGUAAAACUCUGUUAUUAGGGAAGAACAUAUGUGUAAGUAACUGUGCACAUCUUGACGGUACCUAAUCAGAAAGCCACGGCUAGCUACGUG
rnacentral:rRNA from 1 species